UACGGGGGGGGCAAGCGUUGUUCGGAAUUACUGGGCGUAAAGGGCUCGUAGGUGGCCAACUAAGUCAGACAUGAAAUCCCUCGGCUUAACCGGGGAACUGCGUCUGAUACUGGAUGGCUUGAGUUUGGGAGAGGGACGCGGAAUUCCAGGUGUAGCGGUGAAAUGCGUAGAUAUCUGGAGGAACACCGGUGGCGAAGGCGGCGUCCUGGACCAACACUGACACUGAUGAGCGAAAGCGUGGGGAGCGAACAGG
rnacentral:rRNA from 1 species